AGUUUGCAUCCGCCAUCUUGUCACUUUGCUGGCGGUAACUUUCCCUGACGUCUCGUCGAAGAGAAGACAAAUGUCCCUUCUAACGGGUUUUCUAUGAAGUGUUGCUUCUGCAGCUUUGCCAGCGCCACUCAAGAGCGUCUGCUCAGGCACCAUCGACUCAGGCACGGAAGAGGAGCUUACUGGCCGUGUGUUUACAGUGACUGUAUUUAGAGAUUCUGGAUCCAGAGACUUUGAACGAUUACCACCCAUUGGCUGCAUACCAAGUUGCUAGAACUUUGAUGGUGACCCCAAGGACUUGGCUACUGCAGUAACUUGAAAUGGCUUUGUUGCUUCUGGUCCACAUAAAUCCCAAACUCGUCCGUAAGAUUCGGCUGACCAAAGCUCCUGAAACUUUAGAGGAACUGUACAAUGAACUGCGUCAAAAACUUGAACUUGUGGGUGAAUUCUGUAUACAGUAUGAAGACUCAGACUUUGGCCUGGCAGUUUGCAACCUGAUUGACAUAGCAGAGUUACCUUCAGAAAAGGCUGUCUUGCAUAUUCUGUGGAGCAGUGAGGACAUGCAAUCACCACCACCUCCAACACCAACUCGGUCAUCCUCCAUCUCUUCCCUUGACACAGCCAGC